UGCCGCUUGGUUUGAAUGCAACUUACAGCGUUGCAUCACGGGAUACAAAAUGUCUCCUAAGAUUGCUAACUAUUGCUAAUGUACCGAAAAUGACAGAGAUUUAAUAUUGAAUUUGUCGUUUUCCACAGGUUGUGGUUAAGUUUUAUAUAUAUGUGGUAUAUUAACUAGAUUUUGCUGCCACAAUGUCCACCAAAGCGGAGUGCAGGGUCUCCAGCUCCAGCUCCAGAACGGACGAAAGGAAGAGAUCAACGAGCAGAGGACCAGAAAAAAAGAAGCGGAAACGUAGUCGUAGCAGAUCUUCUUCGUCGUCGUCUUCCAGUUCAUCUUCAUCAUCUUCAUCAUCAGCCUCAUCGUCGUCCUCCUCCUCUUCUUCUGGUUCAUCACGCUCAUCCAGCUGCAGCCGGAGUAGCUCUAGUAGUAGUGAUUCGCGGAGUAAAUCCAGAAAGCAAACUAAGAAGAGAAACAAGGAGAAACACAAAAAAAGGGGGAAAAAAGAGAAGCGACAAAAACGUAAAAAAGACAAGAAAUCAAAGGGAGAGGAAAAUUCGGGACCUGUACAGAUCUCCAAGUAUUUGAAAGACAGAAAAAAAGGCAAGUACAGCAUGAUUUCAGGGAAGAAGAUAAAGAUGAAAGUAAAGAAGUCAAAGAAAGACAAGCAGCGGGAUAAAAAUCGAGCAGAACUUCUUGAGUUCUUGAACUCCACCCUCUGAAGCCAUCAUAGACACCAGUCCUGGUGGUCGGGCACAUAUACAGUGGAAGAACUCAGGAAACACCUCGGCUGUCCAGGAGAACAAAAAUGAAGUUUUCUGGAAAGGCGAUUAUAACAACACCGACUCAUCGCCACAGAGGGAUCACCAAGCUCGAUGGAGUGAUGACAGUGUCACCAUGCGGCUGUGCAGGUGGUCAGUACCUUAGCUUAGUCUGAUUACAUUUUGUUAUUUAAGAAGUGUUAAUUACGUUUCACAUUGUCCAACUUGGCCAGCUUGAUCAGACAGAAAUAAAGACUGCUGACUGCUGUCUGUUACUGACGUC
rnacentral:lncRNA from 1 species